ACUUUUUUAAUAUAAUUAAUAUAGAUGACUUCCACUCAUCCAAUCUCAAUACGAACCUGAGAAAAAGUA
rnacentral:tRNA from 1 species